AGUGAACGCUGGCGGCAGGCCUAACACAUGCAAGUCGAACGGUAACACGGAGAGGCUUGCUGCUUCGCGGACGAGUGGCGGGCGCGUGUGUAAAGUACAUGAGACUCUACGAUGGAGGGGGAUAACAAGUGGAAACGGUAACGAUUACAGCAUAACCUCGCAACGCGAGAGAGGGGGAGCUUAUGGCCUCUUGCGCUCGUGUAUGCGCAGAUGGGGGUAGCUAGUUGGUGGGGUAACGGCCCACCCAGGCGACGAUCCGUAGCUGGUCUGAGAGGAUGAUCAGCCACACUGGAACUGAGACACGGUCCAGACUCCUACGGGAGGCAGCAGUGGGGAAUAUUGGACAAUGGGCGCAAGCCUGAUCCAGCCAUGCCGCGUGGGUGAAGAAGGCCUUCGGGUUGUAAAGUCCUUUUGUCGGGAAAGAAAAGAAGCAGGUUAAUACCCCGCCGUUUUGACGGUACCCAAAGAAGAAGCACCGGCUAACUUCGUG
rnacentral:rRNA from 1 species